UACGAAGGGGGCUAGCGUUGUUCGGAAUUACUGGGCGUAAAGCGUGCGCAGGCGGUUUCUCAAGUCAGGGGUGAAAGCCCGGAGCUCAACUCCGGAAUUGCCUUUGAAACUGUGAAGCUCGAGGGCGGGAGAGGUGAGUGGAAUUCCCAGUGUAGAGGUGAAAUUCGUAGAUAUUGGGAAGAACACCGGUGGCGAAGGCGGCUCACUGGCCCGUUUCUGACGCUCAUGCACGACAGCGUGGGGAUCAAACAGG
rnacentral:rRNA from 1 species